CCUACGGGAGGCAGCAGUGGGGAAUAUUGGACAAUGGGCGAAAGCCUGAUCCAGCCAUGCCGCGUGUGUGAAGAAGGCCUUCGGGUUGUAAAGCACUUUCAGUGGGGAAGAAAGCCUUGGGGCUAAUACCCUCGAGGAAGGACAUCACCCACAGAAGAAGCACCGGCUAACUCCGUGCCAGCAGCCGCGGUAAUACGGAGGGUGCGAGCGUUAAUCGGAAUUACUGGGCGUAAAGCGCGCGUAGGCGGUCUGAUAAGCCGGUUGUGAAAGCCCCGGGCUCAACCUGGGAACGGCAUCCGGAACUGGCAGGCUAGAGUGCAGGAGAGGAAGGUAGAAUUCCCGGUGUAGCGGUGAAAUGCGUAGAGAUCGGGAGGAAUACCAGUGGCGAAGGCGGCCUUCUGGACUGACACUGACGCUGAGGUGCGAAAGCGUGGGUAGCAAACAGGAUUAGAUACCCGUGUAGUC
rnacentral:rRNA from 1 species